rnacentral:rRNA from 1 species
GAUGAACGCUGGCGGCGUGCCUAAUACAUGCAAGUCGAGCGAAUGGAUUAAGAGCUUGCUCUUAUGAAGUUAGCGGCGGACGGGUGAGUAACACGUGGGUAACCUGCCCAUAAGACUGGGAUAACUCCGGGAAACCGGGGCUAAUACCGGAUAACAUUUUGAACCGCAUGGUUCGAAAUUGAAAGGCGGCUUCGGCUGUCACUUAUGGAUGGACCCGGGUCGCAUUAGCUAGUUGGUGAGGUAACGGCUCACCAAGGCAACGAUGCGUAGCCGACCUGGGAGGGUGAUCGGCCACACUGGGACUGAGAAACGGCCCAAACUCCUACGGGAGGCAGCAGUAGGGAAUCUUCCGCAAUGGACGAAAGUCUGACGGAGCAACGCCGCGUGAGUGAUGAAGGCUUUCGGGUCGUAAAACUCUGUUGUUAGGGAAGAACAAGUGCUAGUUGAAUAAGCUGACACCUUGACGGUACCUAACCAGAAAGCCACGGCUAACUACGUGCCAGCAGCCGCCGUAA